UUUGAGCGACCCCAGCCACAGUGGGCGGUCGCGGUCCUGGCCGUAGGUCGCCAGCAGCGCGUGUGCCUC
rfam:Saccharomonospora xinjiangensis XJ-54 genomic scaffold Sacxiscaffold_2, whole genome shotgun sequence.